ACUGUUUCGGCAAGGGGGUCAUCCCGACUUACCAACCCGAUGCAAACUGCGAAUACCGGAGAAUGUUAUUACGGGAGACACACGGCGGGUGCUAACGUCCGUCGUGAAGAGGGAAACAACCCAGACCGCCAGCUAAGGUCCCAAAGUCAUGGUUAAGUGGGAAACGAUGUGGGAAGGCCCAGACAGCCAGGAUGUUGGCUUAGAAGCAGCCAUCAUUUAAAGAAAGCGUAAUAGCUCACUGGUCGAGUCGGCCUGCGCGGAAGAUGUAACGGGGCUAAACCAUGCACCGAAGCUGCGGCAGCGACGCUUAUGCGUUGUUGGGUAGGGGAGCGUUCUGUAAGCCUGUGAAGGUGUGCUGUGAGGUAUGCUGGAGGUAUCAGAAGUGCGAAUGCUGACAUAAGUAACGAUAAAGCGGGUGAAAAGCCCGCUCGCCGGAAGACCAAGGGUUCCUGUCCAACGUUAAUCGGGGCAGGGUGAGUCGACCCCUAAGGCGAGGCCGAAAGGCGUAGUCGAUGGGAAACAGGUUAAUAUUCCUGUACUUGGUGUUACUGCGAAGGGGGGACGGAGAAGGCUAUGUUGGCCGGGCGACGGUUGUCCCGGUUUAAGCGUGUAGGCUGGUUUUCCAGGCAAAUCCGGAAAAUCAAGGCCGAGGCGUGAUGACGAGGCACUACGGUGCUGAAGCAACAAAUGCCCUGCUUCCAGGAAAAGCCUCUAAGCAUCAGGUAACAUCAAAUCG
rnacentral:rRNA from 1 species